CCUACGGGUGGCAGCAGUGAGGAAUAUUGGUCAAUGGGCGCGAGCCUGAACCAGCCAAGUAGCGUGAAGGAUGACUGCCCUACGGGUUGUAAACCUCUUUUAUCAAGGAAUAAAGUGAGGCACGUGUGGCUUUUUGAAAGUACUUUAUGAAUAAGGAUCGUCUAACUCCGUGCCAGCAGCCGCGGUAAUACGGAGGAUCCGAGUGUUAUCCGGAUUUAUUGGGUUUAAAGGGUGCGUAGAGGGGUGGGUAAGUAAGGUGUGAAAGUUUGGGGCUCAACCGUAAAUUGCAAUUGAUACUGGAAGCCUUGAGUACACUUGAGGUAUGCGGAAUGCGUGGUGUAGCGGUGAAAUGCUUAGAUAUCACGCAGAACUCCGAUUGCGAAGGCAGCCUACUAGACUGCCACUGACAUUGAUGCUCGAAAGUGUGGGUAUCAAACAGGAUUAGAUACCCCUGUAGUC
rnacentral:rRNA from 1 species